rnacentral:rRNA from 1 species
AUUGAACGCUGGCGGCAUGCCUUACACAUGCAAGUCGAACGGCAGCACGGGAGCAAUCCUGGUGGCGAGUGGCGAACGGGUGAGUAAUAUAUCGGAACGUGCCCAGUCGUGGGGGAUAACGCAGCGAAAGCUGUGCUAAUACCGCAUACGAUCUCUGGAUGAAAGCGGGGGACUCAGCAAUGAGCCUCGCGCGAUUGGAGCGGCCGAUAUCAGAUUAGCUAGUUGGUGGGGUAAAAGCUCACCAAGGCGACGAUCUGUAGCUGGUCUGAGAGGACGACCAGCCACACUGGAACUGAGACACGGUCCAGACUCCUACGGGAGGCAG